AGAGUUUGAUCCUGGCUCAGAUUGAACGCUGUCGGCAUGGCUAAAACAUGCAAGUCAACGAGAACCUCGCAAGAGGGGACAGUGGCGGAAGGGUGAGUAAUGCGAUCGAACGUACCCCAAGGUGGGGGAUAGGCAGGGGAAACUCUGCGUAAUACCCCAUGUGCUCUCCGGAGGAAAGGUUUACCGCCUUGGGAGCGGCGAUCGUCCUAUCAGGUAGUUGGCGGGGUAAUGGCCCACCAAGCCGAAGACGGGUAGCCGGUAUGAGAGUACGGCCGGCCACAUCGGGACUGAGACACUGCCCGGACUCCUACGGGAGGCUGCAGUAACGAAUAUUCCGCAAUGGGCGCAACGCCUGACGGAGCAAUGCCGAGUGCAGGAUGAAGCGGCUUCGCCGUGUAAACUGCUGUCAGGGGUCAGAAACACUGAUCGACCCCAGAGGAAGAGGCGGCUAACUCUGUGCCAGCAGCCGCGG
rnacentral:rRNA from 1 species